GAUGAACGCUGGCGGCGUGCCUAAUACAUGCAAGUCGAGCGAACGGACGAGAAGCUUGCUUUUCUGAUGUUAGCGGCGGACGGGUGAGUAACACGUGGAUAACCUACCUAUAAGACUGGGAUAACUUCGGGAAACCGGAGCUAAUACCGGAUAAUAUUUUGAACCGCAUGGUUCAAAAGUGAAAGACGGUCUUGCUGUCACUUAUAGAUGGAUCCGCGCUGCAUUAGCUAGUUGGUAAGGUAACGGCUUACCAAGGCAACGAUGCAUAGCCGACCUGAGAGGGGGAUCGGCCACACUGGAACUGGGACACGGUCCAGACUCCUACGGGAGGCAGCAGUAGGGAAUCUUCCGCAAUGGGCGAAAGCCUGACGGAGCAACGCCGCGUGAGUGAUGAAGGUCUUCGGAUCGUAAAACUCUGUUAUUAGGGAAGAACGUAUGUGUAAGUAACUGUGCACAUCUUGACGGUACCUAAUCAGAAAGCCACGGCUAACUACAU
rnacentral:rRNA from 1 species